UGGGGUAUAACUCAGUGGUAGAGCGCAUGCUUAGCAUGCAUGACAUCCUGGGUUCAAUCCCCAGUACUUUCA
rfam:Camelus ferus unplaced genomic scaffold scaffold1511, whole genome shotgun sequence.